CUCGUAGGUGGCCAACUAAGUCAUACGUGAAAUCCCUCGGCUUAACCGGGGAACUGCGUCUGAUACUGGAUGGCUUGAGUUUGGGAGAGGGAUGCGGAAUUCCAGGUGUAGCGGUGAAAUGCGUAGAUAUCUGGGGGAACGACCGGUGGCGAAGGCGGCAUCCUGGACCAACACUGACGCUGAUGAGCGAAAGCCAGGGAGCAAACG
rnacentral:rRNA from 1 species